CACGUAGGGCGCAAGCGUUGUCCGGAAUUAUUGGGCGUAAAGAGCUCGUAGGCGGUCUGUUGCGUCCGCUGUGAAAACUCGGGGCUUAACCCCGAGCCUGCAGUGGAUACGGGCAGACUAGAGGUAGGUAGGGGAGAAUGGAAUUCCCGGUGUAGCGGUGAAAUGCGCAGAUAUCAGGAAGAACACCCGUGGCGAAGGCGGCUCUCUGGGACGGUAUUGACGCUGAGACGCGAAAGCGUGGGGAGCGAAACGG
rnacentral:rRNA from 1 species